CCUACGGGUGGCAGCAGUGAGGAAUAUUGGUCAAUGGACGAGAGCCUGAACCAGCCAAGUAGCGUGAAGGAUGACUGCCCUCUGGGUUGUAAACUUCUUUUAUAUGGGAAUAAAGUGUUUCACGUAUUGGACUUUGUAUGUACCAUAUGAACAAUGAUCGGCUAACUCCGUGCCAGCAGCCGCGGUAAUACGGAGGAUCCGAGCGUUAUCCGGAUUUAUUGGGCUUAAAGGGAGCGUAGGUGGUUUGUUAAGUCAAGUGUGAAAGUUUGCGGCUAAACCGUAAAAUUGCAGUUGAAACUGGCAGUCUUGAGUGUAGUAGAGGUGGGCGGAAUUCGUGGUGUAGCGGUGAAAUGCUUAGAUAUCACGAAGAACGCCGAUUGCGAAGGCAGCUAACUGGACUGCAACUGACACUGAGGCGCGAAAGUGUGGGUAUCAAACAGGAUUAGAUACCCGGGUAGUC
rnacentral:rRNA from 1 species